rnacentral:rRNA from 1 species
GACGUAGGGCGCGAGCGUUGUCCGGAUUUAUUGGGCGUAAAGAGCGUGUAGGCGGCUCGAUAAGUCUGCUGUGAAAGUCCAGGGCUCAACCCUGGAAGGCCGGUGGAAACUGUCGGGCUAGAGUCCGGAAGAGGCGAGUGGAAUUCCCGGUGUAGCGGUGAAAUGCGCAGAUAUCAGGAGGAACACCGGUGGCGAAGGCGGAUCUCUGGGCCUUACCUGACGCUGAGGCGCGAAAGCUAGGGGAGCAAACAGG